rnacentral:ribozyme from 1 species
AUAAACUUACGCAUAUAACUCCUAUAACAUCUAUUCCGACACGUCCUCGUCGUGCAGAGUGGUAACAUGUGCCUCCAUAUAUCCUAGCUUGGGUACACGGGUUAGUUCCAACCCCUUGGGCGGAUGGUGGCAUAUGGCGAACUAGGAGGGG